rnacentral:rRNA from 1 species
UACGGAGGGUGCGAGCGUUGUUCGGAAUCACUGGGCGUAAAGGGCGUGUAGGCGGUCUGCUAAGUUUGGAGUGACAGUUGGUGGCUUAACUGCCAAAGUGCUUCGAAAACUGACAGACUUGAGGGCUUCAGAGGGACACGGAAUUCCGGGUGGAGUGGUGAAAUGCGUAGAGAUCCGGAGGAACACCAAAGGCGAAGGCAGUGUCCUGGGGAGUACCUGACGCUCAGGUGCGAAAGCCAGGGGAGCGAACGGG